UACGUAGGGGGCAAGCGUUGUCCGGAAUCAUUGGGCGUAAAGAGCGUGUAGGCGGUUCGGUAAGUCGGCUGUGAAAGUCCAGGGCUCAACCCUGGGAUGCCGGUCGAUACUGCCGGACUAGAGUUCGGAAGAGGUGAGUGGAAUUCCCGGUGUAGCGGUGAAAUGCGCAGAUAUCGGGAGGAACACCUAUGGCGAAGGCAGCUCGCUGGGACGUUACUGACGCUGAGACGCGAAAGCGUGGGGAGCAAACAGG
rnacentral:rRNA from 1 species